UGUAAGAGCAGCCUGGAUCGAUGUAUCUGUGUAAGAAUGUUUACAAGAGACCACUCAUAUUUUUAGUGAAAGCGUCUUGUUCUCGGUGAAUUUUUGCUAUAACUUAUUCCUGGUAAAUACUCGUAGGGGACUUGUUGUUCUUGGGAAAUUUGAGUAUGUAGCAGCUAAACCUUUUUGGGAAAUUCUUGUUUUGCUGAGUUUACUUUGGAGCUUCGAACUUGGUGGGUUAUUGAUGGAGUCCCAUGCCCUCAGUGAGUUUUGGUUUGAGGCUUCUUAACCCUGGUAAAUUUUGGUUGGAGACUCUAACUCAUGGUAAAUUUUGGUUGGAGACUCUAACUCAUGGUAAAUUUGGGUUGGAGAGACUAACUCAUGGUGAAUUUUGGUCGGAGAAUUUAACUCAUGGUGAAUUUUGGUUGGAGAAUUUAACUCAUGGUGAAUUUUGGUUGGAGACUGACUUCUGGUAGAUUGUGGUUGGAGACUGACUUCUGGUAGAUUGUGGUUGGAGACUAACUUCAGCUAGAUCUUGGUUGGAGCUUUUAACUCCUGGUAAAUUUUGGUUGGAGACUCUAACUCAUGGUAAAUUUUGGUUGGAGACUAACUCAUGGUAAAUUUUGGUUGGAGACUCUAACUCAUGGUAAAUUUUGGUUGGAGAAUUUAACUCAUGGUGAAUUUUGGUUGGAGACUGACUUCUGGUAGAUUGUGGUUGGAGACUCUAACUUCAGCUAGAUCUUGGUUGGAGCUUUUAAUUCCUGGUAAAUUUUGGUUGGAACUUUCAACUCCUGGUAGAUUUUGGUCGGAACUUCUUACUCUUAGUAAAUUUUAGUUGGAACUCCUUACUCCCAGUAAAUUUCGGUUGGAGCUUCUAACUCAUGGUAAAUUUUGGUUGGGGCUUUUAACUCCUAGUAAUGUAGGUUGGAGCCUCUAAUUCUUGGUAGAUUUUGGUUGGAGCCUCUAACUCCUGGUAAAGUUUGGUUGGAGCUUUUAACUUAUGGUACAAUUUAGUUGGAGCGUCUUACUCUUGGUAAAUUUUAGUUGGGACUUCUUAUUUUUGGUAAAUUUUGGUUGGAGCCUUCAACUCCCGGUAAAUUUUGUUUGCUGCUUUUAAUUCCCGGUAAAUUUUGGUUGGAGCUUCUAACUCCUGGUAAAUUUUGGUUGGUGCUGUUAACUUACGGUAAAUUUUGGUUGGAGCCUUUAACUACUGGUAAAUUUUGCUUGGUGCUUUUAACUCCCGGGAAAUUUUGGUGGUGGCUUCUAACUCCUAGGAAAUGUUGGAUUGGAUUGGUUAAUGAACUUUAGGCCAAAGGCUAAGCACUGGAACUUACGAGGUCAUUCAGCACUCCUAAUAGAUAUUGGUUGGAGUUACUUGCUUCUUGUAGCUUUAUGGUGGAACAUCUUAUUCCUGAGAAAUCUGCUCGAACGUUUUACUCAUAGUAGAUUUUGGUUGGAGUUACUGGCGCCUGGUGACUUAAAUUUUUUGCUAGGGGGCCGAGUACUGCAUCCCUGCAUAUAAUAGGAUGUCAAGGUUUUUAACAAUUCAGCAGUUUAUGACUUGAAAGUUUUGUUCAGUUGGCCGUGAACUUAUAUACUUAUUAAUAUAUAUUACACUACGACAAAUUUACUUAGAAUUAUAUGUAUCUGAAGAAAUAACGUGUAAAUGUGAAUGAAGGUAAAUCUUAUUCUGAAAAAGAAAAAAAAUAUCAAAAAUAGUCUUAAGAUCUGUUGACACCUCUUUGUUACUUUGAGACCCAGCUGGGUCUUGAAUAAAAUCACAACGAACGAAUUUUGUUCAGUUCCCAUUCAUUGGUAAUAAGUAAGGCCACCAGGGAAUUAAAAGCCAGUAAUUAAUUUUGGCACCUUGUGUUGGUUUUUAGUGACAGUAAAAAUAAUUCAGCAAUAAAAGUAGUGACAAUCAAAGUAAAAACAUCAGAUUUUACACCCUAGUUCAAAAGGCUAAAUGGUCAGUCAACUACAGAACCUUGGUGGUUUGAUCCAAAUAGCGAAAUUAUUCGGAAAUACUAGUUUUCAUCUGCUUUGCUUGCUUUGGAGGUGUCUGGCCUUUCUAACAUCCAGACUACCUUGACUGUUGUUGUUUGUGUGUAUGUAUUUAUCUAAACAUACACAUAUACAAAGUAUACAGUAAGCAAUAGGAAGUAAUUUAAUGAUUCACUUUUAGUCUCUCAUACAUCGAAUUCUUCGUAUCUUUCGCUUUUCGUUUGUAACGAGAAUGCGACGAAAGUUAUGACGACUUCCGUUGUUUGAUCUUUUCGAAGAAAGAGUCAAGUGAUUGUGAAAUUUUUAAAAAUCAUGUUAUGUCAGCCAUGGCCUGUGAGAUAUCAGUAAUUUGUGUGAAAUUAAACUGUGUAACACGUUCCAGUUAGUUCAAGAAAAAUGUCAAUUUGUUCGAUAGCCAAUCACUAUACUGUAGUACAAUGCCUUCGUAAUGAAGUGAUGGGGAUCCAGUCGAUAAUGUACCAGCCAAGGAAACUAUUUUCAUUCAAAGUUUUGGAAUGGUAGAGAAUUUAAUUCCAAUAAGAAAUUUGCUUUUCAUUCCCCAUCUCUCAAUUUCCAUUAACUGAAUGUCAGUAAUGUCGUCGCAAAUGGAAAGAUGAGUCAUUGUAUAUGUUAAACCUGUCCCUACAUUGUACAAACCUCUUACAUUUUACGUGUGUUAUACUGUCCGGAACGGUAUAGAGUUAGAAGACAAAUGAAUCAUGACGUGAAGAAAGAGAAAAGUUCCAAGACUUUUUCCUUACGCCACGUCGUCACAACUCACAGGCACAGCUGACAGCUGUCAUUAGCUAAUUUGGGUACCUGUGAGGUGGACGUAUAUGGGCGGUGGUUACCGGUGUUUUUCGGUGCUCUUUAUAUCUCUUCGUGUGAGCAUCAUGCCGACCAAUUCGGGAUAGUAUUGUGUUUCAAACACUGUCUGCAUAAGGGAGUUUGACGUCGAACUAUCUGUCAGUGUUAAGGAUUACAGCUGAAGGAGGUAAAUAAUCGGCCUCCAAUUUGCCAUCACUGAGUGACUUUCAAGAACUACUCCGUGAUAGCUGCUCGUCUUUAAUUGGCGCCCUACUGGACAACUGAUGGUGAAAUUUACAAGAACUACCUUAAUAAAUGCAAUCCCGGUCAAAAUUACCAUCCAUCAGAAUGUUGAAAGUAAAUUCAGAUUGCUGCAAAUUUUUCCUCUUCAGUAAAUUAAAGAUUCACAUUGAAAUACAACACUGUCAUCGUUGUUUCAAGUACUCAUCUGGAUCAACUUCUGUGAACUUAUCAGUUCCCUUCCUCUUCACUCUUAUUUUUAUGGGGCUGGGAGAAUCCUGCAGCUUGGCCUUCUCAUCCUCAGUCUUUGGUAUAUCAGUAUAGACAUACACUGUGCAGCCUGCAGUAAUGUGACCUUUUUCAUAGGCUAGAGCAAGCUGAUUAACAAGACGACGUUCAACCUGCAGAUAAGACUUCAGUUAGCAAUCAUUCAUUCUUUAGGAAAACCUAUGCUACUAUAUGUCAAUUUUGAUUGGCCUUCUCACUGGUAUACCAGCAUAUUGAAGCACACAAAGAUACACAUAAACAGGAAGGUUUAUAUGCAAGCUGGAAAAGCUCUACUUACCUGCUU